GAUGAACGCUGGCGGCGUGCCUAAUACAUGCAAGUCGAGCGAACGGACGAGAAGCUUGCUUCUCUGAUGUUAGCGGCGGACGGGUGAGUAACACGUGGAUAACCUACCUAUAAGACUGGUAUAACUUCGGGAAACCGUAGCUAAUACCGGAUAAUAUUUUGAACCGCAUGGUUCAAAAGUUAAAGACGGUCUUGCAGUCACUUAUAGAUGGAUCCGCGCUGCAUUAGCUAGUUGGUAAGGUAACGGCUUACCAAGGCAACGAUGCAUAGCCGACCUGAGAGGGUGGUCGGCCACACUGGAACUGAGACACGGUCCAGACUCCUACGGGAGGCAGCAGUAGGGAAUCUUCCGCAAUGGGCGAAAGCCUGACGGAGCAACGCCGCGUGAGUGAUGAAGGUCUUCGGAUCGUAAAACUCUGUUAUUAGGGAAGAACAUAUGUGUAAGUAACUGUGCACAUCUUGACGGUACCUAAUCAGAAAGCCACGGCUAACUACGUG
rnacentral:rRNA from 1 species